rnacentral:lncRNA from 1 species
UUUCGGCGGCUUUAAAUCACCCGGUGAUUUGUAGGCACAAAGAGGUCAGCUUCUAUAGCCUGGGAUCUCUUUCCUUUAGGCAAACGCGCCCAUUACAGACAGCAGGUUCUUAAAGCAAGGGACAAGUGUAAACAAUUCAUUUAUAAGCCAAGGAGCUGUAUGCGCUGGUAACCAACCGGCUCCACUUCCAGCUUCACCGCUCGCCAAUUUUCUCGCGUGCAUCAUUAACCCAUUCGGGCACUUGCCACGUCGCUACUCCCCUAUUUCCACUGUCGCGUUUUCUCCGUCAGGUACAAAGUUUUUGCACGUUUAACAAUUCUUUUUUUAUGUCGUUUGUUUGUUUUGUUUUGUUUUGGACGAGGGGAGAGGGAAAGCGGAGCGGAGACAGCACGCAGCAGGGGCCUCCGGAAACCGGGGACAUUCUUCGGCAGGUGUCGCGUGAGAUGCAAAGCGACCCGUUUGAAUUAGGCACAACUAAUUAACUCACUAGCGCAUCCCGCAACGAGGCGAGGAGAAGCGCGUAACAAACUGUAAUUGAAAGUGUGGUUUAAGUCCCUAAUUCGGAUCUAGAGCCCGCGCGUCUAGCUGUCAGAGUCCCCGGCCGGCCCGAACGAGCGCAGCCGGCGCUAACGAGGCAACGACUCCCAGCUGCCGCGGCACCGCGGGCACAGCUGCGGCUCGUCCGCAGCGAGGGGCGGGUCCGCCCCAAAGCCUCUUAAGCUCCGCCGGAGGCCGCUGGGAGCCACGAGGGAGUUCCCCGGGGUUCGCUGCCUGCGGCUGCGGUGAGAUGUCUCCCGGUGAAUAUCGGUCGGAACCGAUAAGCCGUUCUGAUAACAACGGGACCGAGGAGGCGGCCUGCGCUCGGAAGCCGUUCGGGGCCGUCCGCCUGGCUCUCGCCGCUCUCCUUUCGGGGCCGGCGCAGGGCUUCCUCCGGGCUCCUUCGGCUUCUGGGAGCCGGGAUAACGUCGCCGCCCGGCCGCCAUCGCGUUUUCAGAAGGGGCUGCCGCUCGGUUCCCCGAGUCCUAGCGCGCUCUCAGCCUCUCCGGGGCUCCCGGUCUCAUCGGCUGAGCGAAGGCUGCGGCAGAGUCUAUCGUUAUCCCGACCCGGUGAGACGGUGGAGGCAGUGAGUGUGUAG